UAUCUUCUGAGUAUGGGCUAGUACAUCUGCCUUCCAAGCAGAAAGAUUAAAUAAAAUUUAAAGAAGAUAU
rnacentral:tRNA from 1 species